rnacentral:rRNA from 1 species
AUGGCAGAUAAUGGUAAGGCAAAAUUAGGCUCAGGAGCAGCCCAUACAAUCAGUCUAGAGACCUUCAGUAAGCGGCUUAAGGUGUUUUAUGACCAUUGGAACAAAAAUAAGUCUCAUCUUUGGGGUUCUUCUGAUGCCAUUGCAAUUGCGACUCCGCCUCCUUCUGAGGAUAUCUGUUAUUUGAAAUCCACAGCUCAGGAUUUUCCAGAAACCAUAAUCGUCUUCAUGCAGAAGCAGAUGCAUUUCUUAUGCAGCCAGAAGAAAGCAAAUCUCAUUGGAACCAUCAAGAAUGCUGCAAGUGAGGCUGUUGGUUUUGAUGCAUGUGAAAAGCAAGAAUGGGGAUGGCAUUGA